rnacentral:lncRNA from 1 species
UUUCAGUUAGAAAAUUUUCUGAAAAUCAGGUACCCAUUUGGGGAAGAAUAAAGAUAGCACCAAGGAAGUGGUCUUUGAACCAGGGUUGCCCCCAACAUAAUAAGCUUCCAAUGGAGGAAGUUGAUCCCCAGCAGACAGAACAAAGAGAUGACAUUUGUGCUUAGAAAAGCAAAGAGCCAUUAUCCUCCCAGUAGUUUCCAGAAGAAUGAAGCAUCGAUUUGAAGGGAUAAAAUUCCCCAACAGCGUUAUCCUCAACAACGUUAUCCCAAGAAGAUAAAACUUUUAUCCCCAGCAGUGUUAAGAAAAAAAAACAACAAAAAAAAAUUUGAAUUUGAAGGAUGGAAAGAAAGGAGACUCCCCAGUGGUAUUAUCCCCAGCAAUCAGGCAUCCAUCUGGAGAACAAGGAAGAGCAACGGAAGUAUUAGAAGUCAGGCGUCCACCUGGAGAACAAGGAUGAGUAAUGGAAGUAUUAGCAAUCAGGCGUCCACCUGGAGAACAAGGAAGAGCAAUGAAAGAAACAGCAAUCAGGCAUCCACCUGGAGAACAAGGAUGAGUAGUUGAAGUAUUAGUAAUCAGGCAUCCACCUGGAGAACAAGGAAGAGCAAUGAAAUAUCAGAAAUCAGGCGUCCACCUGGAGAACAAGGAAGAGCAAUGAAAGAAACAGCAAUCAGGCAUCCACCUGGAGAACAAGGAUGAGUAGUUGAAGUAUUAGUAAUCAGGCAUCCACCUGGAGAACAAGGAAGAGCAAUGAAAUAUCAGAAAUCAGGCAUCCACCUGGAGAACAAGGAAGAGCAAUGAAAGAAACAACAAUCAGGCGUCCACCUGGAGAACAAGGAUGAAGAAAAGAAAUAGCAAUCAUCUGGAGAACAAGGAUGAAGAAUUGAAUUAACAGUCAGGCGUCCACGUGGAGAACAAGGAAGAACAGUUGAAAUAUCAGAAGUCAGGCGUCCACCUGGAGAACAAGGAAAAGCAUCAAAACUGGGGCAGAAGAUUUUCUGCCAUGGUCGAAAAUUUUCUCAGAAGAACAAGGAAAUCAAUUCAAGUUUUAAGAGAUAGCAAGACAACAAGAGUUGGAGAAA